rnacentral:rRNA from 1 species
UACGGGGGGGGCAAGCGUUGUUCGGAAUUACUGGGCGUAAAGGGCUCGUAGGCGGCCAACUAAGUCAGGCGUGAAAUCCCUCGGCUUAACCGGGGAACUGCGUCUGAUACUGGAUGGCUUGAGUGUGGGAGAGGGAUGCGGAAUUCCAGGUGUAGCGGUGAAAUGCGUAGAUAUCUGGAGGAACACCGGUGGCGAAGGCGGCAGCCGGGACCACGACUGACGCUGAGUGAGCGAAAGCCAGGGGAGCAAACGGG